rnacentral:rRNA from 1 species
CUACGGGACGCACCAGUGAGGAAUAUUGCACAAUGGGGGGAACCCUGAUGCAGCAACGCCGCGUGGAGGAUGACGCAUUUCGGUGUGUAAACUCCUUUUAUAUGUCAAGAAAAUGACGGUAGCAUAUGAAUAAGCACCGGCUAACUCCGUGCCAGCAGCCGCGGUAAUACGGAGGGUGCAAGCGUUACUCGGAAUCACUGGGCGUAAAGGACGCGUAGGCGGGUUGGAAAGUCAGGUGUGAAAUCCUACAGCUUAACUGUAGAACUGCACUUGAAACUUCUAAUCUAGGGUAUGGAAGGGGGAGAGGGAAUUAGGGGGGUAGGGGUAAAAUCCGUAGAUAUCAAUAGGAAUUCCUAAAACGAAGGCGAUCCCCUGGAACAUUACUGACGCUAAGGCGUGAAAGCGUGGGGAGCAAACAGGAUUAGAUACCCCGGUAGUC